rnacentral:rRNA from 1 species
GAUGAACGCUGGCGGCGUGCCUAAUACAUGCAAGUCGAACGCACAGCGAAAGGUGCUUGCACCUUUCAAGUGAGUGGCGAACGGGUGAGUAACACGUGGACAACCUGCCUCAAGGCUGGGGUGUACAUUUGGAAACAGUUGCUAAUACCGAAUAAAACUCAGUGUCGCAUGACACAAAGUUAAAAGGCGCUUUGGCGUCACCUAGAGAUGGACCCGCGGUGCAUUAGUUAGUUGGUGGGGUAAAGGCCUACCAAGACAAUGAUACAUAGCCGAGUUGAGAGACUGAUCGGCACAUUGGGACUGAGACACGGCCCAAACUCCUACGGGAGGCUGCAGUAGGGAAUCUUCCACAAUGGGCGAAAGCCUGAUGGAGCAACGCCGCGUGUGUGAUGAAGGCUUUCGGGUCGUAAAGCACUGUUGUAUGGGAAGAACAGCUAGAAUAGGGAAUGAUUUUAGUUUGACGGUACCAUACCAGAAAGGGACGGCUAAAUACGUGCCAGCCGCCGCGGUAA